UGAACGCUGGCGGCAUGCCUUACACAUGCAAGUCGAACGGCAGCAUGAUCUAGCUUGCUAGAUUGAUGGCGAGUGGCGAACGGGUGAGUAAUACAUCGGAACGUGCCCUGUAGUGGGGGAUAACUAGUCGAAAGAUUAGCUAAUACCGCAUACGACCUGAGGGUGAAAGUGGGGGACCGCAAGGCCUCAUGCUAUAGGAGCGGCCGAUGUCUGAUUAGCUAGUUGGUGGGGUAAAGGCCCACCAAGGCGACGAUCAGUAGCUGGUCUGAGAGGACGAUCAGCCACACUGGGACUGAGACACGGCCCAGACUCCUACGGGAGGCAGCAGUGGGGAAUUUUGGACAAUGGGCGAAAGCCUGAUCCAGCAAUGCCGCGUGUGUGAAGAAGGCCUUCGGGUUGUAAAGCACUUUUGUCCGGAAAGAAAUGGCUCUGGUUAAUACCUGGGGUCGAUGACGGUACCGGAAGAAUAAGGACCGGCUAACUACGUGCCAGCAGCCGCGGUAAUACGUAGGGUCCAAGCGUUAAUCGGAAUUACUGGGCGUAAAGCGUGCGCAGGCGGUUGUGCAAGACCGAUGUGAAAUCCCCGAGCUUAACUUGGGAAUUGCAUUGGUGACUGCACGGCUAGAGUGUGUCAGAGGGGGGUAGAAUUCCACGUGUAGCAGUGAAAUGCGUAGAGAUGUGGAGGAAUACCGAUGGCGAAGGCAGCCCCCUGGGAUAACACUGACGCUCAUGCACGAAAGCGUGGGGGAGCAAACAGGAUUAGAUACCCUGGUAGUCCACGCCCUAAAACGAUGUCAACUAGUUGUUGGGGAUUCAUUUCCUUAGUAACGUAGCUAACGCGUGAAGUUGACCGCCUGGGGAGUACGGUCGCAAGAUUAAAACUCAAAGGAAUUGACGGGGACCCGCACAAGCGGUGGAUGAUGUGGAUUAAUUCGAUGCAACGCGAAAAACCUUACCUACCCUUGACAUGCCACUAACGAAGCAGAGAUGCAUUAGGUGCUCGAAAGAGAAAGUGGACACAGGUGCUGCAUGGCUGUCGUCAGCUCGUGUCGUGAGAUGUUGGGUUAAGUCCCGCAACGAGCGCAACCCUUGUCUCUAGUUGCUACGAAAGGGCACUCUAGAGAGACUGCCGGUGACAAACCGGAGGAAGGUGGGGAUGACGUCAAGUCCUCAUGGCCCUUAUGGGUAGGGCUUCACACGUCAUACAAUGGUGCAUACAGAGGGUUGCCAAGCCGCGAGGUGGAGCUAAUCCCAGAAAAUGCAUCGUAGUCCGGAUCGUAGUCUGCAACUCGACUACGUGAAGCUGGAAUCGCUAGUAAUCGCGGAUCAGCAUGCCGCGGUGAAUACGUUCCCGGGUCUUGUACACACCGCC
rnacentral:rRNA from 1 species